rnacentral:misc_RNA from 1 species
UCGUGCUGGUGCACCGAACUGCUUCCCCCACUUUCAAUCAAUCAAUUGCUCCACGAGCUAACGUCGGAUGCAAAACAAAGGGGUUCCUGUGCUGCAUACCUAACGAGAUGGAAAUUCGUCCCUUCGGUUGUCCCUUCCAUCCGUGCAUCCUCCUCGGGUGCUCGGUUGGACUAGAUAGAGGCGCUCGUUCUCCACGGGCAUCGCACGCGAUCGUCCCGAUGGAGCUCGAGCGCACUCUUGUCCUCUCGGAUGCGGAAAAUUCCUCACGGGCGUGGGGUCAUCGGCCCUUGGUCCCGAACGUUGAAGCGUCCAUCGCUUCACGCCGGAAUGACGCUCUCGCCUUGCGCUUGAUCACGUGGAGCUCUCGGGCUACCGCAAGGAUCAUGCUCGGCGGACGUCGUGAAGGAAUGC